AUGUGGCAAACUUGGCGCAGCAGCGCACGGGCGGGGAGGGCGGAAGGCCCGCGUCGGGCUGGGAGGUGCGCCCUGCCCUGGCCCGAGGAUGAAGGAAUCCGAGCUGCGGGCCUGGCGCAGAGGAGAAAGGGGGGCGCCAGGGUGGUGAGCGAGACGGCAAGAGAGAUGGGAAUUUCUCUAGCAGAGGGAGGGGACCCACCCCAUCCAGGAAGGAGAUUGCUGCCCCUAGCCAGAGACCCGAACUGGGAAAUAGGAACAUUCCUUUACAUUGUUGGAGAAAUGAAGCCAAAGUUGUUCAGAUGGUUUUCCCAGUCUAAAGGAAAGUCACCUGCAAGAUAUCCCGGCACUGACCUGAAGCACCUGACAGGGUGGGUCUCCCUUACCAAAGAGAAGAACCACUCUCUGACGCUGGGGUGACCUGCUGGCUGGGCCUGUAAGGUUUCCAUGUUGCUGAGGCCAUGGAGAUUCCCAGAGUUGGUCACACCAACCACUUUCAGGGCCGCUGCCCUGGGCUGGUAACACCAUUCUGGCCUGGGCCUGCAGAAACUUUCAGAGUCUUCACUGGCAGUAGGGGGAGAUGGGGAGAGGAAUGACCUCUGCCCAGCAGCUUCCUUUCCACACCAUUCAAUGGAAGAGCCCAGAUGGGUGAAGAUUGAUUUUGCCUUAACUCAAGAGAAUUCCUGUUCUCCUUGUGCUAUGAUUUGGACACAAGAUUCUGGACACCUGGAACUUAGCUGUGUACUCCUGUACCCUAAACAAUGGGUUUGAGUUCCAGCCUUUAUUCUUUUUUUCUUUUUUCAGAUCACCAUCUAAGUUACAUCUUUAGCUCAGGUCCAUCCUUCCCAAGAUCUCCUUCUUAGCCCCCAGCCCCUGGUGCUGUCUGUGGUCAGGUGACCUUACUCAGGAGCAGAUAUCUCCUUGGCCGCCAUGGAGCCUCAUCCACCCACACGUGCCUGUAGCAUUCCAGAGCUCACUGCUCUUCUAGAUGUGCCUUCCCGCUUGGCUUCCAGCGGCUUGUGCUCCCUCUGUCUGCCAGGUAUGAGAAGAACACGUAAGACCGCCCACAUUCACCCUCCCUCAAGGCCCUGUGCCAUAGGGGUGGCCACCCGACCUGCCCCCAGAACUUUUGGAUACUGGAGGCAGUUGUGUAGGCCUCUCUCUCUGGGUACCAGGACUCAGUCCAGCCCAAGACCACUGUGGGCAGCUCCCAUCCCAGUCUAGGGCCAUUUGCAGACCCAGGAAAGGAUUUCUACAGUGUUCUAUAAAAGCCAAAAGGGAGAGUGGAUUUGGGAAGAGUGAGGGUGGUUGGGGAGGGGGGACCGAUGUGCCUCAUUGUUUAGUGGUGAUUACAAAUAUGCUUUUCUGGAUAAAGUUUGGUUGUUUGCUCUUGGCGUGUGUGUCUUCUGUCCUGGUCUUCUGCAGUACCCCUCCAUGUGAGGUCCUCCCAUUCUGUCUCAUUGUGCCUCACGCCCUGCUGCUGGCCUCUUUUCUGCCUCUCUGGCUUCCUCUUUCCUUCUAGGAAGGAAAGAGAGUGAGUUCACAGAUGUCCAGUGCAGUUAGGAGCCUGGACCAGGGGUUGCCUGAGGACAGAAACCAGAGGGAAGAAAACUGCCUGUGUCCCUGAUGGAGGCUGGAGGAAAUUCCAGAGGCUUUUGUCCUUGCUCUCAAUGGGCCCUCUGUUACAGAGCUCCACUGCCGCUCAUUCUGGGUGCAGAAAGACCGUGGUUGUGGAGCUAGAGUGUCCUGUUCUAGUCCAACCCCAUCGUUUUACAGAACGGGAAACGAAGUCCAGGGCAUGGUGGCAACCUGCCUGAUGCCACACUGCUGAUGAGGGGCAGAACUGGGGUCUCCUGUAGCCCAGGCCCUGUUUUUUUCCCUGUAUACCACUGUGGCCUGCUCUGGUGUUGCCGCCUGGACCACACCCCACCUGCCUUUCCCCCGAUUCCCCUGAGAUUCUUUGCCCAGCCAGCUGCUGGCUACUGGUGGAUGCCCUGGAAAGGGUGUGAGGGCAGAGUUAAAAGGCUUCCUCCCAGGCUCCUCCUCCCUGUGCCCCGAGCGUGACAUCUGCAGCCAGGAAACAGGAUUUUUCAAAACUCACCUGGAACACUCCUCCUCCCUGUGCCCUGGGCGUGACAUCUGCAGCCAGGAAACAGGAAGAUUUCAAAAGUCACCUGGAACAGCUCCAGGCUGGGAUCUGAUGCCACAUGUGUGCACCACACCCACUCUUUUCCAAAGAACCAUUCCAGUGCCUGUGCACACAAACAUACACACAGCCACACACACUGUCUUCAUAAUUUGGUUUGUGACUGGACAGUGGGUGGAGGAAAACACCAUCAGCUGCCAAGGCCCCUCCCCUACUUCCCUCUUCCCUCUCCUGUCUGUUUGUGAAUUUCAGGCAAAGUAAAAAGUGGCUCUGCUUUCCCCAAAGGCUGGUAAGCCCCUGCUCUACUCUAUUUUAGUGGUGGAGCGUUUUGCAGUUUAAAAUAUGCUUCUCCCUGCAUUACCCUAUUUGAUCUUCCCUGUAGUCUUUUGUUUUUUUGAGAUGGAGUCUCGCUCUGUCACUCAAGCUGUAAUGCAAUGGCAUAUUCUCAGUUCACUGCAACCUCUAUCUCCCAGGUUCAAGCAAUUCUGCCUCUGCCUUCCGAGUAGCUGGGACUACAGGCGUGCACCACCACAUCCCACCAAUUUUUGUAUUUUUAGUACAGACAGGGUUUCACUAUGUUAGCCAGGCUGGUCUCAAACUCCUGACCUCACAUGAUCCACCCGCCGCAGUCUCCCAAAGUGCUAUAAUUACAGGUGUGAGCUACGGCACCCAGUCCCUUCCCAGUAGUCUUACAGGUUGGCAUUGUUGCCCCCCACAUCUCCUAUCCCAUUCAAUAGAGGAAAUGGAGCCCAGAGAAUGGAAAGGCCUUAUCCAUGGUCACACAGCUGGCUAGCGACAGGGCAGGGACUGGAAGGCAGAGGUUUCUUUAAGCGCUGUGGUCCUUUGGCAGGCUCUAAAGUUUAUGGGGAGUUUAGUUUUCCUUCCAGGAGACCAGGUGUUUAGGAAUGGCCUAAUCUGGCAUUUCCUGCUUAGUGCACUUUGAAGUAAGACACUGCUUCUCAGACAUAAUGAGCUCCUUUGAGUGGGAAACCUCAGGGUUUAUGUCUGUUACUUUUCCUGCUUUUCUAGGGAUGGAGGUGGGGUGGUCAGUGGUGAAAAGCGAGAAUUAAUAAAUGAAUAUUUUCAGUGAUCAAAGGAAAAAGCAGGAAUAUGAGACAGAAAAGUUUGGUUAGCAUGAUUUAUUUAUGUGUUUUUUGUUUGGUCACAAUAGUUAUUUGUAAAAUAAAAUAGCAGUAUAUAUCCUUAAAAAUAUAAUACCAAUAUGCACCAUCAAAAAAUGUAAGCAGUAUAGAUGUGUAAAAAGUAAAAAGAGAAGCUGGGCCAGGUGCAGUGGCUCAUGCCUGUAAUUUCCAACAGUUUGGGAGACUGAGGUGGGCAGAUCACUUAAGCUCAGGAGUUCGAGACCAGCCUGGGCAACAUGGCAAAACCCUGUCUCUACAAAAAAUAUGAAAAAAAUCAGCUGGGCAUGGUGGCGUGUGCCUGUGGUUGCAGCUAUUCUGGAGGCUGACGUGGGAGGAUCUCUUGAGCCUGGGAGGUUGAGGCUGUAGUGAGCCAUGAUUGUGCCACUGCACUCCCACCUGGGCGAUAGAGUGAGACCCUCAAAACAACAACAAAAAAGACAAAAAGUAAAAAGAGGCUGGGCGUGGUGGCUCACGCUCUGGGAGGCCGAGGUGGGUGGAUCACUUGAGUUCAGAAGUUCGAGACCAGCCUGAGCAACAUGAUGAAACCCUGCCUCUACCAAAAAAUACAAAAAUUAGUUGGGCAUGGGGGCAUGCGCCUGUAGUCCCCAGCUACUCGGGAGGCUGUGGCAGGAGAAUGGCAUAAACCCGGGAGGCAAAGGUUGCAGUGAGCUGAGAUCCGGCCACCG
rnacentral:lncRNA from 1 species